UACGUAGGGUGCAAGCGUUAAUCGGAAUUACUGGGCGUAAAGCGUGCGCAGGCGGUUAUGUAAGACAGUUGUGAAAUCCCCGGGCUCAACCUGGGAACUGCAUCUGUGACUGCAUAGCUAGAGUACGGUAGAGGGGGGAUGGAAUUCCGCGUGUAGCAGUGAAAAUGCGUAGAUAUCGGGGAGGAACACCUGUGGCGAAAAGCGGCUCACUGGACCAUAACUGACGCUGAUGCACGAAAAGCUGGGGGG
rnacentral:rRNA from 1 species